rnacentral:rRNA from 1 species
AUUGAAAGAUGGCUUCGGCUAUCACUUACAGAUGGACCCGCGGCGCAUUAGCUAGUUGGUGAGGUAACGGCUCACCAAGGCGACGAUGCGUAGCCGACCUGAGAGGGUGAUCGGCCACACUGGGACUGAGACACGGCCCAGACUCCUACGGGAGGCAGCAGUAGGGAAUCUUCCGCAAUGGACGAAAGUCUGACGGAGCAACGCCGCGUGAACGAUGAAGGCCUUCGGGUCGUAAAGUUCUGUUGUUAGGGAAGAACAAGUACCAGAGUAACUGCUGGUACCUUGACGGUACCUAACCAGAAAGCCACGGCUAACUACGUGCCAGCAGCCGCGGUAAUACGUAGGUGGCAAGCG